rnacentral:rRNA from 1 species
UACGAGGGGGCAAGCGUUGCUCGGAAUCACUGGGCGUAAAGGGCGCGUAGGCGGGAUGGCAAGUCGGUCGUGAAAUCUCUCGGCUCAACCGAGAAACGUCGGCCGAUACUGCCGUUCUUGAGGGAUGCAGAGGAGACUAGAAUUCCCGGUGUAGCGGUGAAAUGUGUAGAGAUCGGGAGGAACACCAGUGGCGAAGGCGCGUCUCUGGGCAUUUCCUGACGCUGAGGCGCGAAAGCGUCGGGAGCAAACGGG